rfam:Dipodomys ordii contig_28709, whole genome shotgun sequence.
UGGCUCAGUGGUAGAGCAUUUGCCUUGCAUGCAUGAGGCCCUGGGUUCAAUUCCUCAG